AUUGAACGCUGGCGGCAUGCCUUACACAUGCAAGUCGAACGGUAACGAGCCUUCGGGUGCCGACGAGUGGCGAACGGGUGCGUAAUACAUCGGAACGUGCCCGAUCGUGGGGGAUAACGAGGCGAAAGCUUUGCUAAUACCGCAUACGAUCUACGGAUGAAAGCAGGGGACCGCAAGGCCUUGCGCGGACGGAGCGGCCGAUGGCAGAUUAGGUAGUUGGUGGGAUAAAAGCUUACCAAGCCGACGAUCUGUAGCUGGUCUGAGAGGAUGAUCAGCCACACUGGGACUGAGACACGGCCCAGACUCCUACGGGAGGCAGCAGUGGGGAAUUUUGGACAAUGGGCGCAAGCCUGAUCCAGCCAUGCCGCGUGCAGGAUGAAGGCCUUCGGGUUGUAAACUGCUUUUGCACGGAACGAAAAGCCUUCUUUUAAUACAGGAGGGUCAUGACGGUACCGUAAGAAUAAGCACCGGCUAACUACGUG
rnacentral:rRNA from 1 species